AAUGCUCACUAUCACCAUCACCACAAAAUGUGUGGAAUGGCAGGCAGCAAAGUGAAAUGGGAUGCAGCUUUACAACGUAAUGUUUUGGAACUGGGAGAUGGAGAAGAAAAAGUCGUGCUCUGCUAACUGCAUGCUUUGUUUGUCUUUUUCAAAGUUGGCAACAUGGCGUGGAGACUGAUUUAUGAAAGUGAAUCUCUCAACUUUGCUAGAACUUUUCUAAACAGUGCUGGUAUACAUUUGGAACAUUUCUGAGGAGCUGCUCACCAUGCCAGUGCCUUGUACAGAUGCAAACAACUAGAAGCAAAUGUUCCCUAUAGAACCACCCACAAAGUGAUACAAUCUAAAGUAAAAUAUUGAAGAGAAGACUGGCCCUAGAACUCGGUGAUCUCUAUGGCAAACUACUUGUGACUCUCCUGAGAUCAGAACGGAUUCGACGUAUUGCAGUCCUAUUUGUUAUAUUGUUAAGUCAGUGGCUAUCUCAGGCUGCCGCCCUGGAACGCACUGAAGCAUUAUCCCAUCUGCUUAUAAAUAUUUUGUGUGGUGGUAUAGCAACUGCCUUUUAGAAUUCUAAAUGUCAUAUUUUAUUUUAUUUUAUUUUCACUUGUUUAUUAAUUUGAUCACUUAGUCAAAGAAAUCUACCAACCUCAUACAUCUAAAUCUCAUUGUUACAUAACUGUUCCUUAUCAUGGCCAGAUUUUGGGGCAAUAGUUGCAGCAUUUACAGUCUCUGGGUUGGAAAGUCAGUCAAUUGAAUCUAUUCAACUCUAAGCCAGAGUUAAAAAAAACUCCUGGCCCAGCACAAAGGUAUGCCUGUGUGCUAAGCAAAUAUACUUCUUUCAGAAUUUCUUUUGGCAAACUAUUGCUUCACAGUUACUCAUCUCCUCUUAUGUAUUUGUUUUUUUCCUUAACUGCUAUUUUGCUUUACUGACAUCAAAAUAAGAAAAUCAACUAAAUACUAGCUCAACAAUGUUGCAAAAUGCAAACAAAUUUAAGAAGGCAAUGUGCCUAACCCUGGAAACUUAGACGGGGCUGAGGAAAGGAAUAAAACCAAAGAUAGGUGAGAUAGGAAAAUUCACCAAACUGAAUGCAGACUUUCAAUGAAUAGCAAAAAGGCACAAAGAUGCCUACUUCAAUGACCAUUGCAAAAAAUGAAAGAUGAUAAUAAAAAGUGGAAGACGAGAUUUCAGCAAGAAGACUGGUGAUAUUAAGGGAAAUUUCCAGCAAAAAAUGAGGAUGAUAAAAUACAAAGAUGGGAGGCAUACCUCUCAACUUUCCAGAUUUUCACAGAA